UUUAUUGAUGGACUAGCGAUGAAGUACUUUACAAGCAUACGUAGCGUUUACAAACUCCUAUGUAAUUUGUGCAUUAAUGCUUGCCACAUGAAUAAUAUAUA
rnacentral:ncRNA from 10 species